UACGUAGGUGGCAAGCGUUUGUCCGGAUUUACUGGGCGUAAAGGGCUCGUAGGUGGCCAACUAAGUCAGACGUGAAAUCCCUCGGCUUAACCGGGGGAACUGCGUCUGAUACUGGAUGGCUUGAGUUUGGGAGAGGGACGCGGAAUUCCAGGUGUAGCGGUGAAAUGCGUAGAUAUCUGGAGGAACACCGGUGGCGAAGGCGGCGUCCUGGACCAACACUGACACUGAUGAGCGAAAGCCAGGGGAGCAAACGGG
rnacentral:rRNA from 1 species